AUUGAACGCUGGCGGCAGGCCUAACACAUGCAAGUCGAACGGUAACAGGAAGAAGCUUGCUUCUUUGCUGACGAGUGGCGGACGGGUGAGUAAUGUCUGGGAAACUGCCUGAUGGAGGGGGAUAACUACUGGAAACGGUAGCUAAUACCGCAUAAUGUCGCAAGACCAAAGAGGGGGACCUUCGGGCCUCUUGCCAUCGGCUGUGCCCAGAUGGGAUUAGCUAGUAGGUGGGGUAACGGCUCACCUAGGCGACGAUCCCUAGCUGGUCUGAGAGGAUGACCAGCCACACUGGAACUGAGACACGGUCCAGACUCCUACGGGAGGCAGCAGUGGGGAAUAUUGCACAAUGGGCGCAAGCCUGAUGCAGCUAUGCCGCGUGUAUGAAGAAGGCCUUCGGGUUGUAAAGUACUUUCAGCGGGGAGGAAGGGAGUAAAGUUAAUACCUUUGCUCAUUGACGUUACCCGCAGAAGAAGCACCGGCUAACUCCGU
rnacentral:rRNA from 1 species